AAUUAUUAUUCAUUAUGCUUCGUAUGAUUAUUCAUUGAGUACUUUGAAGGCGUAAGGAAAUAAAUAUAAACUAUGAGUAGUUUAGAGAGAAAUCGGAGAUCAGCAUUGAAAAAGCAGAAGUACGCAUAUAUUUAUGGUGUAAAAGUUAGGUGUCUAUUGUGGUACAGAUAGUUUAGCAAGGACUAAAGCACAAUAAAUCACUCCAUGAGGACUACAUAAAGCAAUCCAAACCUAUUCCAUAUAAAGUGAUAAGCAAUCGUUCACCUCGGCCAACUUGACAAGAAUUGUUCGGUGGUUCCAUUUGGCCUUCUCAACAAUGAGCGACCUACCUUUUCAAAUAAAAAAGAUAAGUUACAUCAAGAUGAAGAAGGUGGAGCUUUAGAUGAAGUAAUUACAUCAAUUCUUUGUAACGAAAUUGUAGUAAGAAUGAUGACUUACUUAGCACUAACGCUAGCAGUGAGAAAAAACAACGAAAUCAAUCAUGUCACUAAUACGGCACACUAUAUUUCAAAGCUACCUUCCAUGUCUUAUGCACAUGUUUCAGGUCCAAUAUGGAAACUCUUGACGAUUGAAAAUUGGUUGUUGAAUUGAAUACUGUGUCGUUGCUGAUAAUUAUCAUUUUUCUAUGAGUGUAUAAACAACUCUUGGCUCCUAUCCUGAUGUUGAAGAGGCAUUGAUUGUCGAGUCCAAAUCAGAUGACGGUGACAAUGUAGGUGGUAGCCUCGUAUCAUACAUUGCUGCUCUCGAACACCUUUUGCAGGACAUGGAUGAAUCAUCACACAUAUUGGCCAAAAUUAAAUCAUAAGCAUUACUUAACACUCUAGAGGUAUUUUGUCAAAUGACAGAUAUCGUAUUUCUCCAGUUCAAAGCUUAUGUCAAGUCUUACGAGAAAAAAACAUUAGCCUUCAUGACUCAGAAGAUGCUUAUAAUGAAGAACUAAGACAAUCUUUGUAGCUAUCAGAAUUACAGUCUUUGGAUCCUGGUUUACGCCCACGAAAGUUAAGUGAUGCACAGCACCGAUAUUUCGUAGCUAAAGGGCCAUUUCACUCAAUACUCAAGACAGUCCCCAAGAACAAUUUCAAAACAAAAACAUCAACAAUUUUCUGUUCUACGAGUUUCCGAGGAUUAGUUCUCUUUAAUAGCCGGAUAAUAGUGAAAAUGUAUGGGUGAGAAAUGGUGUAUCCUCCUGGAGUAAGAUGAAAAGUGUCGGGAAGCAAAAGAAGGGUAUUGCGUACUUCUCAUCCAAUAGCCAUAGCUAAUCUGUCGCAGUUUUUAGAUCCAUCAUGUCACGUUGAUGUGCUUGUUGAUAAGUCUCGUCGUGACCUACAGAUUCAAGAAGUAGAUCGACUUGAGGAUACUAAAGUUUUUGAAAUGUUGAUGGAUGUUGUAAAAAUGUUAGCUAGACAGAACAUCCCCUUUUGGUAGAGAUGGCCCCAAUAAAUCUAAUGGAAACUUCAACCAAAUUGUAAAUCUUUUAUCUCGACAUUGUCCGAUGAUGAAACGCUGGUUAUAAAAAAAAGAAACGGCCGAGCGCAUUUUGUUUCCUAUGUCAAGUAAAUCCCAGAACGAGUUGAUAGACAUAUUAUAUUCUGAGGUACGAAGGAUGAUUAUAAACGAGAUUAAUGCUGCAUGAAUGUUCGGAAUAUCUUCUGACACAACACUUUAUCUAUCUUCUUGUGAUCGAAUCACUGUUGUUGCGAGAUACGUGAAAGAUGACACCUUAUGAACGCUUGUUGGCUCUUAAACAUGUAAAGAGUAAAACUGGGAAAUAUACAGCCAAGGAUAUGUUUUCAGUAUUAUCGAACGACCAACUGGAUACAAACAAGAUAUAAUCAUAGUCAUACGAUUUUGCUGCUACGAUAUCUGGCCAGUACAACGGAGCACAACAGAAACUGGAAAAAUUGAUAGGACGAAAUAUGCCAUACAUCCCGUGUCUGAGUCACCGGAGUAACACUGUAGAUAAAUAUGAUUGUAAUGCAAGUGAACUAAUUACUUCAAUGUUUACAAUAUUGAGAGUCUUUAUAAACAUUCAUCGCUGGUAGCACCAAAAGUUUAAUGCGACUUGGAGAAAAAUGUCUGCCACAAUUCUCUUUCAAAUUUGGAUUCGGUCCGAGCAGCAUUCAUAACAAUGUGGUAUAACUUGGACACAACCUUCAUCGUCAAGAGCUGCAAAUGUGUUGG
rnacentral:lncRNA from 1 species